rnacentral:rRNA from 1 species
ACGCUAAUACCGCAUACGUCCUACGGGAGAAAGCAGGGGACCUUCGGGCCUUGCGCUAUCAGAUGAGCCUAGGUCGGAUUAGCUAGUUGGUGGGGUAAUGGCUCACCAAGGCGACGAUCCGUAACUGGUCUGAGAGGAUGAUCAGUCACACUGGAACUGAGACACGGUCCAGACUCCUACGGGAGGCAGCAGUGGGGAAUAUUGGACAAUGGGCGAAAGCCUGAUCCAGCCAUGCCGCGUGUGUGAAGAAGGUCUUCGGAUUGUAAAGCACUUUAAGUUGGGAGGAAGGGUUGUAGAUUAAUACUCUGCAAUUUUGACGUUACCGACAGAAUAAGCACCGGCUAACUCUGUGCCAGCAGCCGCGGUAAUACAGAGGGUGCAAGCGUUAAUCGGAAUUACUGGGCGUAAAGCGCGCGUAGGUGGUUUGUUAAGUUGGAUGUGAAAUCCCCGGGCUCAACCUGGGAACUGCAUUCAAAACUGACUGACUAGAGUAUG